ensembl:miRNA
GAUGCCAAUUGGCAUAAACCCGUAGAUCCGAUCUUGUGUUGAAACGCACUGCACAAGCUCGCUUCUAUGGGUCUGUGUCAGUAUGGUGAUC